GAAAUUUAAACUUAGAAAAUAUUAUUAUUCACGAAGCUAGGCGAGCUAAAUGUUCUCUAUAUUAGUAGAAUAUUUUUAAUGUAGCAAUAUUAAUAUACUAAGAAAAUUUAGGGGUGAAAGGCCUUUCAAGUCUAGCAAUAUCUUGAUUAUAAGGAAAUAUAUUUAGUAUACAGACAACCUAAUAAUGUUAAGGUUUUUAGGUAGCAUAAUUUUUGUUUUAAUUCUUGCUGUAUAUGUAAAAACUGCAGUUUAAAUAAAUUUAACAUAAAAUUCUAUAAAUAUAUGUAUAGUACUUAUGUGUUUAAGUUAUUAUAUAUAUUAAAUUACAAUUGAUUUCAUUAGUAUUUUUUUAAAUUUUAUUUAAGGAACUCGGCAAACCUAUUUCUCGACUGUUUAUCAAAAACAUUGCCUUAAGUUUAUUCUUUAAGGUUAACCCUGCUCAAUGAUGUAUUAAAUAGCCGCAGUACCUUGACUGUGCAAAGGUAGCAUAAUCAGUUGGCUUAUAAUUGAAGUCUAGUAUGAAUGGGAAUUCGGGGAUAAGCUGUCUUAGGUAAAGUACCAGAACUUUCUAAAUAAGUGAAAAUUCUUAUACAUAUAUAAUAGACGAGAAGACCCUAGAAAUUUUUUAAAUAUUGUUAUUAUUUUAUUUUGUUGGGGCGACAUGGUAACAAAUUUUAACUUACCAAAGUAUAUAAGAAACUAUUUAGUUGUAUAAUAUAAAUUACUCUAGGGAUAACAGCAUUAUUUAUUUUAAGAUUGUGACCUCGAUGUUGGACUAGGGAAUAUUCUACUUAAAAGGUAGACUAGUAAGCUCUGUUCGAGCUUAGUUACCUACAUGAUCUGAGUUCAGACCGG
rnacentral:rRNA from 1 species